rnacentral:lncRNA from 1 species
GUGCUCCAUAUUAAGAUUUUAUUUUCGGAGAUUAUUUUUCUCUCAUUUUGUAGCAGAGAAGCUGAGAACCCUGGUAUUCAAAGAGAGGAAGUGCUGCGUUGUCUCAGGAGCCAGCAUGAGAUGCUGCACCUAUGCUUCGACCUGUCACUGGUCGCAUUCCUUUCCUUAAGAGAAGAAUGGGAACUGAGUGCCGGGACUCUGUGUUAGCUCCUUCUACCUACAAGCUUGGGACACGAUGAACAAGGACCAACUCUGCAUCUCAGUGAGUUUCAGGCAAUGUGUUAUUUGGGCCUGAAGUGAUCCUGGGUCUUGCCCCUACCGACUAAUAUAUACAAUCCCUUGAAAAAAUUUGGUUCACGAGUCACAGGCCAGCCUCCACAAUGAGAAGUAGAACUGGCAUCGACACUUAUGUUAACA